CGGAGUGUAGCUCAGCCUGGUAGAGCACUGUCUUCGGGAGGCAGGGGUCGUGAGUUCGAAUCUCGCCACUCCGACCA
rnacentral:tRNA from 37 species